ACAUAUACAUAUACAUAUACAUAUACAUAUACAUAUACAUAUAUUGUACAAACAGACUUCAGAAUUACUGCCUGCUGUGCAGAACAAGAGGAGCUAACCACCUCUUCUAGAUCCUCUUUGAUUUGUGGCAACAAACAUCCCCACUUUUCUUUGAAAAUCAGCAUAAGGUUAUAUUGUGUACAUGUGUUGUUUUCUAUCCCCUCGGUUCUCUCGGCGUCUGAGAUACGUUGCACCUGCUGGAAGAUGUAGAAUAUAUCUCAGCCUCACAAUAACAACUGUGCUUUGAGAACUGUCCUUAACCAGCAGAACUGGGAGGCUGGCAUAUGGAAGAUAUGGAAGACAUGGAAGAAGAGGAUGGGGAAAAGAUCUUCUGCUCUGUGUGAGAACCAAGAAUUUGGAAUAUAUUUCAGCAAACAUUAACCAAUUGACCUUCCUGCUGGAUAUGUGCUGGGCUGUGGCCUCAUUGAGAGAUUCCAAAUUAAUCACACGCCUCUUCAAAAGGUGUCUGAGGGAGGUUUCUCUGCAGAGACUAUUGAUGUGCUUCCAGCUCUCUUGGACUCUCUGGAUGAUAAAGAGGUAGCGAGCAGAACGGGAUGAACUGAAUCAACAAGAGACAAAGUGAAUUACAAGUUGCCCAAACAAUCAGGCCAGAUAGCUGGAAAUCAAGGGCAAGCUUCCCUGUGACCUGUGCUGCUUCUCUCCAAGCACUGCUUCUUCUUUCCAGCUUCUUCUGGGAAGAAAUUCUUCAUGUUCUGUCUUCUGCCAAGUGGAUCAGAGCCAGCACAACAGAUGGAGUCUUUUACACCACCCUCGUGCCUGCUUUACACCAGGCAUGGUGCGCAGCAGCCCAGGCAGAAAUGCUUCUGGCAGAGCACGGGAAGUGGAGCCCUCUGACAUUCCUCCUGACUCAGUUCAGUUGCAGCCCUGAUCUAGGGCUUCAGAAAAGUCCAGUUACGUGCUUCUGCUGUCUUCCUUAUGCGCUCCUUAAUAAAGCAUUAAUUACUCUGAUACA